rnacentral:rRNA from 1 species
CGACGACCUCGGUUCGGGCGAGAUCACCCGCUAAACUUAAGCAUAUCGCUAAGCGGAGGAAAAGAAACUAACUAGGAUUCCCUUAGUAGCGGCGAGCGAACAGGGAGGAGCCCAGCGCCGAAUCCCACGGUCCGAGAGGCCCGAUCGGGAAAUGUGGCGUUAAGGAGGAUCCGCUCGCCCCGAAGUCGCGCACGGCACGUCAAAGUCCUUCUUGAAAGAGGCCGAUCCACCCGAAGAGGGUGCCAGGCCCGUAGGACUGCCGUCCGGCGACGGGUCGGAUCUCUCCCUAGAGUCGGGUUGCUUGAGAGUGCAGCCCUAAGCAGGUGGUAAACUCCAUCUAAGGCUAAAUACGACCACGAGACCGAUAGCGAACAAGUACCGCGAGGGAAAGUUGAAAAGAACUUUGAAGAGAGAGUUCAAGAGUACGUGAAACCGUUCAGGGGUGAACCUGAGAAACCCGAAAGUUCGAAAGCCGAGAUACAGCGUUCGUCCGCUCCGACUUUGUGUGGCGAGGAGCGGCGACGUGCACUUUUCGGCCGGUAGGACGUCGCGACCCGUUGGGUCGCGCCGACGCCAUCGAAACGGGACGGCGCGCGGGAAGCUCGCGCGAGGAGGCGGGUCGCAAGGCCCGUCGCCCUCGUCGAACCCGCCGCGCCGCUCUCCGCGAUCGGCGCGCCCGACGCGAAAUUCACGCACACACACGAUGCAAACGACGAGAGGCGGAGCGCACAUCACGAGCGCGUCCGACCCGACGGCGAUCGAGACGCGCGUUUGCCGUGCGCCCGGCAGAAUCGACGGACUCGCUCCGUCGACUCCGGGCGACGCGCGAUCCGACGCCUCGGCGUUCUCGGACCUUCGGUCCGCCGAACGUCGGCGACGCUAUUGCUUUGGGUAAUCUCAGGACCCGUCUUGAAACACGGACCAAGGAGUCCAACGUGCGCGCGAGUCAAUGGGACAAUUAAAUUGAAACCCAAAGGCGGAGCGAAAGCGACGGGGUCGACUUCGACCCGUUUGGGAGGAUGGGCGCGCCUUAACCGGCCGCCCCGCACUCCCGGGGCGUCUCGCCGCGGUACGUCCGCGUCGCGCGCGCGAUCCGUCGCGCGCGCGCGCGGUCGCACCUGAGACGCACCUCUAGCGCGCACGCCGGGACCCGAAAGAUGGUGAACUAUGCCUGGUCAGGACGAAGUCAGGGGAAACCCUGAUGGAGGUCCGCAGCGAUUCUGACGUGCAAAUCGAUCGUCAGAACUGGGUAUAGGGGCGAAAGACCAAUCGAACCGUCUAGUAGCUGGUUCCCUCCGAAGUUUCCCUCAGGAUAGCUGGCGCUCGGAGAGCUACUUAUGCAUGUAACAGUGUAUAAUACGCAAUAUAGAGUCUCAUGCGGUAAAGCGAAUGAUUAGAGCGAAUCGGGGUCGAAACGACCUCUACCUAUUCUCAAACUUUAAAUGUGUGAGAUCUCCGGCUUGCCCGAUUAACGAAGCCGCGAGAUCGGAUCUAGAGUGCCAAGUGGGCCAUUUUUGGUAAGCAGAACUGGCGCUGUGGGAUGAACCAAACGCUAAGUUAAAGCGCCCAAAUCGACGCUCAUGGGAGACCAUGAAAGGCGUUGGUAACUCAGGACAGCAGGACGGUGACCAUGGAAGUCGGAAUCCGCUAAGGAGUGUGUAACAACUCACCUGCCGAAGUUACCAGCCCUGAAAAUGGAUGGCGCUUAAGCGUCGUGCUUAUACUUUGCCGUCGGCGGCAAGUGCUAGGCGGCCGGGCCAGUCCCGACCGUCGAGCUGGCGAGGCCCCGACGAGUAGGAGGGUCGCGACGGUGAGCGCAGAAGGACCGGGCGUGAGCCCGUCUGGAGCCGCCGUCGGCGCAGAUCUUGGUGGUAGUAGCAAAUACUUCAGCGAGCACCUGGAGGACUGAGGUGGAGAAGGGUUUCGUGUGAACAGCAGUUGCACACGAGUCAGUCGAUCCUAAGCCUCUAGGCGAAAGCCGAUGUUAAUGGGGCGCCGACGAAAGCCGCAAGGGCAGAAACGUCGCGCGCGUCCGUUCGAUCGAUCGACGGACACCGAUCGGUCGCGAGAGAGAAAAGCCCCGGCGAUAGAGAGCCGUGUGGAGCGAGAUGUAAACGGCAGAGCGAACUUGGUUGGCGAGAGAAGCGAGUAUUGCAGCGGGCGCAUCGAGCGCGUUUGUUGGUAGAGCCGGCAGGAGGAAUAAAUAAAGAAGGAGAGAAGCAGCGCAAGGAGCAGCCGGUGCCGCGCCGCCGCACCCGACUCCCCGGUCGGGUACGCGAAGCGCGUCGACCGUCCGGCCGACUUCACUGACGCUCUCUCUUCUCUUCUACGCCUCCUCUUCUUCCUUCAUUCGCGCGCGCGCGUACUCUCUCUCUCUCUCUCUCGAGCGCCGCUCUUUCGCCUCCUCCACGCAGGCGCCUCGUCGUCGAGAGCUUUCCGAUAGACUCUCUCGCGCGCCGAGUCCGUCGAGGACGACGACGUAGUACGUAGACGACGAUCU